rnacentral:rRNA from 1 species
CCUACGGGAGGCAGCAGUGAGGAAUAUUGGUCAAUGGACGAGAGUCUGAACCAGCCAAGUAGCGUGAAGGAUGACUGCCCUAUGGGUUGUAAACUUCUUUUAUAUGGGAAUAAAAUGUUCCACGUGUGGGUUUUUGUAUGUACCAUAUGAAUAAGGAUCGGCUAACUCCGUGCCAGCAGCCGCGGUAAUACGGAGGAUCCGAGCGUUAUCCGGAUUUAUUGGGUUUAAAGGGAGCGUAGGUGGAUUGUUAAGUCAGUUGUGAAAGUUUGCGGCUCAACCGUAAAAUUGCAGUUGAAACUGGCAGUCUUGAGUACAGUAGAGGUGGGCGGAAUUCGUGGUGGAGCGGUGAAAUGCUUAGAUAGCACGAAGAACUCCGAUUGCGAAGGCAGCUCACUGGACUGCAACUGACACUGAGGCUCGAAAGUGUGGGUAUCAAACAGGAUUAGAUACCCCUGUAGUC